AUGCAAGUCGAACGGCAGCACGGGAGCAAUCCUGGUGGCGAGUGGCGAACGGGUGAGUAAUACAUCGGAACGUACCUGGUAGUGGGGGAUAGCCCGGCGAAAGCCGGAUUAAUACCGCAUACGACCUGAGGGUGAAAGCGGGGGAUCGCAAGACCUCGCGCUAUUGGAGCGGCCGAUGGCAGAUUAGGUAGUUGGUGGGGUAAAGGCCUACCAAGCCUGCGAUCUGUAGCUGGUUUGAGAGGACGACCAGCCACACUGGGACUGAGACACGGCCCAGACUCCUACGGGAGGCAGCAGUGGGGAAUUUUGGACAAUGGGCGCAAGCCUGAUCCAGCCAUGCCGCGUGCGGGAAGAAGGCCUUCGGGUUGUAAACCGCUUUUGUCAGGGAAGAAAUACUCUGGGCUAAUACCCUGGGGUGAUGACGGUACCUGAAGAAUAAGCACCGGCUAACUACGUGCCAGCAGCCGCGGUAAUACGUAGGGUGCGAGCGUUAAUCGGAAUUACUGGGCGUAAAGCGUGCGCAGGCGGUUGUGUAAGACAGAUGUGAAAUCCCCGGGCUCAACCUGGGAACUGCAUUUGUGACUGCACGGCUUGAGUGCGGCAGAGGGGGAUGGAAUUCCGCGUGUAGCAGUGAAAUGCGUAGAUAUGCA
rnacentral:rRNA from 2 species